rnacentral:rRNA from 1 species
AGCAGCCGCGGUAAUUCCAGCUCCAAUAGCGUAUAUUAAAGUUGUUGCAGUUAAAAGCUCGUAGUUGAAUUUCGGGAUCAAGGAAUCGGUCAUGCCUCGGUAUGUACUGGUUUUAUUGGUUCUCACCUUCUAAAGAACCAUAAUGUCAUUUAUUUGGUGUUAUGGGGAAUUAGGACUGUUACCUUGAAAAAUUAGAGUGUUUAAAGCAAGCUUACGCUUGAAUACAUUAGCAUGGAAUAAUGAAAUAGGACAUCCGAUUCUAUUUUGUUGGUUUCUAGGAUCGAUGUAAUGAUUAAUAGGGAUAGUUGGGGGCAUUAGUAUUCAAUUGUCAGAGGUGAAAUUCUUGGAUUUAUUGAAGACUAACUACUGCGAAAGCAUUUGCCAAGGAUGUUUUCAUUAAUCAAGAACGA